rnacentral:sRNA from 1 species
UGGUAGAUGCACCCUGAUGAACUCCUCCAGUUGGGGACAACUGGGGGAUUACUUU